GGAGGAGAUAGGGCAGCCAGGUCAGGGAACUGUGUGGGCCCAUCAGUGUGUGGCCGAGAGGGCCCUCAGCAGCCCUCACUCUGCCUCUCUCUCUUCCUCACAUGUCUGCUUUUCUGGGUUGCGCAGGAGGAGCAUCCAGCCCAGGUGUGUGGCUGGGUUUCAAAUCCAGCUUUGGGGUGAGUCAACAAUUCAGACAUCCUAGUUGUUGCUUCAGGGCAAAACUGACCCAGAUGAUAGGAACAGCAAAAGGCAGCCCCAUUCUAAAUUCAAACCUGGGAUGUCCCCUCUGAAGUCCAGCCAGAAUUCUAUAGGGAGCUCAGUUACUCUUAGCUGUGUCCCCUGUGCCCUUCAAAGCUGUGGAUGACCAUGCCGGUAAGAUGGCAAGUUCACUCAUACUCUGUAUUCUGGGUACAGUUGUGAGUGGUGUCCAAAUGUGUUGUUUCACAUGAACUCGGACUUGAUGUGCCCUAUAAUGAAGAGGGCACUCAUUGUUUUCAGCACUUGUGGAUGGAGCUCCCUUAGCAUUUUAUAGGCAGGUGAAUUUGGUAAGAGAAGACACUUUGGAAUAAAACACAUCUUCGGGAGUUUGAGUGUGCCUUCCUAUGGGUUGGUGUGCCCAUUGGUCUUUCACCUGGAAAUAGCCUCAAAUUGACAACCAGAGGAGACUCCUGGCAUUUGGAGGAGCUUCACGUGCUCCUGAGCCAUCUCAUGGUGGGCAGAGAAUGGUCCUUGGGGAGAAGAGUGUGAAUGUGGCCAUUCUGCUGCUUUCCCCUGUGCUGAAGAGAGGUUCUGGAGGAUGGAGGCCCACAAACAUAAUGGGAAGGUUUAGGUGGGUUUUUAAAAAUCAGUUUUCAUGGCCACACUGCUACUAUAUUCCCCACUAAGGUGUAAGCAGCUGUGUUUUCAACAGAGACCCACUUAGCUCUUAAAGUCACAUUUACUAUUUCUCUGAUAGAAUUAUCAACUAGCCAGAUGUUUCUAACUGUCCAGGUAGCAGUGUAAGGAUUCACCCAACCUCUCCUUGGCCAGGUUGAGGUCAUUACAUGAAGAUCUCUGUCAGCUUUGGUCAGCUAGCACAUGCAUUUUUUUUUUUAUGUUUUGCAUUAAGAAAAAU
rnacentral:lncRNA from 1 species